rnacentral:rRNA from 1 species
GAGUUUGAUCCUGGCUCAGGACGAACGCUGGCGGCGUGCUUAACACAUGCAAGUCGAACGAUGAAGCCAGCUUGCUGGUGGAUUAGUGGCGAACGGGUGAGUAACACGUGGGUGAUCUGCCCCAAACUUUGGGAUAAGCCUGGGAAACUGGGUCUAAUACCGAAUAUGACUGAUACUCGCAUGGGUGUUGGUGGAAAGCUCCGGCGGUUUGGGAUGGGCCCGCGGCCUAUCAGCUUGUUGGUGGGGUAAUGGCCUACCAAGGCGACGACGGGUAGCCGGCCUGAGAGGGCGACCGGCCACACUGGGACUGAGACACGGCCCAGACUCCUACGGGAGGCAGCAGUGGGGAAUAUUGCACAAUGGGCGCAAGCCUGAUGCAGCGACGCCGCGUGAGGGAUGACGGCCUUCGGGUUGUAAACCUCUUUCACCAGGGGCGAAGCGAAAGUGACGGUACCUGGAGAAGAAGCACCGGCCAACUACGUGCCAGCAGCCGCGGUAAUACGUAGGGUGCGAGCGUUGUCCGGAAUUACUGGGCGUAAAGAGCUCGUAGGCGGUUUGUCCCGUCGUUCGUGAAAACUUGGGGCUUAACUUCAAGCGUGCGGGCGAUACGGGCAGACUUGAGUACUACAGGGGAGACUGGAAUUCCUGGUGUAGCGGUGAAAUGCGCAGAUAUCAGGAGGAACACCGGUGGCGAAGGCGGGUCUCUGGGUAGUAACUGACGCUGAGGAGCGAAAGCGUGGGUAGCGAACAGGAUUAGAUACCCUGGUAGUCCACGCCGUAAACGGUGGGUACUAGGUGUGGGUUCCUUCCACGGGAUCCGUGCCGUAGCUAACGCAUUAAGUACCCCGCCUGGGGAGUACGGCCGCAAGGCUAAAACUCAAAGGAAUUGACGG